AAAAAAUUUGCAGAAGGCUGGACUAACAUCCCCUGCUCCUUCCGUGUGGGAAGAGAAGUGUUCCGGAAGAAUUGAGCAUGCUCAGUGAGCUCGCCUUCCUCUGCAAGAAGAGAUUAGGACCUACAGAGAGGCAUCUGGGGCACACAGGCACAGAGGAAAGAUCAUGGGAGGACAUGGCAAGAAGGCGGCCAUCUACAAGCCAAGGUAUAUUAUAGUGAAAUGAAAGUUUAAAAAAGCUACCAAUCUUCCCAAGUUAUUUUCAAAGUCAUUUAUGAAGAGUGUACUCCUUCUACAUAUUAAAAACAGUUUAUUGUAAAACAAUAUGUGGCUGGGUGCAGUAGCCCACUCCUAUAACCCCAGCACUUUGGGAGGCUGAGGCUGGAGGAUUGCUUGAGCCCAGGAGUUUGAGACCAGCCUGGACAACAUGGUGAGACCCCAUCUCUAUAAAAAAACAUGUUUAAAAGUUAGCUGGGUGUGGUGGUGAAUGCCUGUAGUCUCAGCUACUCAGGAGGCUGGGGUAGGAGGAUCUCUUGAGCCCAGGAGGUCAAGGCUGCAGUGAGCCGUUAUGGUGCCGGUGCACUCCAGCCUAGAUGACAGAGUGAGACCCUGUCUCAAAAACAAAACAAAACAAAACAAUUACUGGGUUAUACCAGCAGUAUAAAUGUGUCUUGUUUACUGUGCCUCUUGAUUGCAUUAUUUUCUCUUGUGCUUCAAUUAAUCUCGUGUUGCUUUGUUCAUCACGGUCCUUUUGUCAUAGAAAAUCCAUGGCUAUUGUUGCCAGUAAGAGGCCACAUCAAGUGACUGAUCUUGAAACAAGAGAUUAAGGACCACCAAUGGGUCAAGGAAUUACAGCAGCUUUUAAGGCCCACUGCCUGAGGAGGAGCAGCUUUGCUCAGGUUAUUACUGCAACAAAGGAAGACACAGAGAAGACGCCGAUGCAAUUCUGAAAGGUUACAUCUAUGACUCCAUCAGGACCCUUGCUUGGGCUUGGGGUGAUGUUACCAAGGAAUGUAUAAAUGACAUCUGGAAGAAGACACUCAAGAGGUUCAUCCGUGAUUUCAAGGGAUUUGCCAAGGACAAGGAGGUUGCAAAAACCAACAAGGCUGUGGUUGAGACGGCAAACAAUUUUCACCUGGGGGUGGAAGAGGACGACAUUGAGGAGCUCCUACAGGUGGUUCCUGAGGAACUGACUAAUGAGGAGUUGUUGGAACUGGAACAGGAACACAUACCUGAAGAAGAGGCAAGGAAGAAAAAACUGCAGGAGAAGAAAAAGAAUCCCCAUGAAAAUUCACAGUGAAGAGUUGAGAAGUUUUUGCAGACCUCAGUAAGCGCCUUAAAAAUUUUGAAAACAUGGGCCCCUCAACACCGAAAGGGUUUCAUUAAGAGAGGAAUGUUCUUUGUGCACUGUCUGCUUACAAGCAAAUCUAUGAUGAAAAAGGAAAGCAAGCAAACUACCAUGGACAUAUUUCUGAUGCAUGACAUUGCCUAAGAACCUCAGGUAGGUCUUGUUAUCCUAGCUCCCUGCUUUUUUUUUUUGAGUCAGGGUCUCACCUUGUCACCCAGGCUGGAGUGCAGUGGUGCGGUCAUGGCUCACUGCAGCCUUGACUUCCCAGGCUCAAGCAAUCCUCCCUCCUCAGCCUCCUGAGUAGCUGGGACGACAGGCACGUGCCACCACACCUGGCUAAUUUUUGUAUUUUUUGUAGAGACGGGAUUUCGCCAUGUUGCCCAGGCUGGUCUUAAAUUCCUGGGCUCAAGCGAUCAGCCUGCCCCGGACUCCUGAAGUGCCAGGAUAACUGGCGUGAGCCACUGGGCCCAGCUGUCCCUGCGUGUUAUUGCCCCUGAAGACCUUCCAGCAGGGCAAGAUGAGGAGGUAGGAGACAGAAAUAUCCAUGAAUCUAACC